rnacentral:rRNA from 1 species
CCCACCCGUGUUUACUGUACCUUAGUUGCUUCGGCGGGCCCGCCAUUCAUGGCCGCCGGGGGCUCUCAGCCCCGGGCCCGCGCCCGCCGGAGACACCACGAACUCUGUCUGAUCUAGUGAAGUCUGAGUUGAUUGUAUCGCAAUCAGUUAAAACUUUCAACAAUGGAUCUCUUGGUUCCGGCAUCGAUGAAGAACGCAGCGAAAUGCGAUAACUAGUGUGAAUUGCAGAAUUCCGUGAAUCAUCGAGUCUUUGAACGCACAUUGCGCCCCCUGGUAUUCCGGGGGGCAUGCCUGUCCGAGCGUCAUUGCUGCCCAUCAAGCACGGCUUGUGUGUUGGGUCGUCGUCCCCUCUCCGGGGGGGACGGGCCCCAAAGGCAGCGGCGGCACCGCGUCCGAUCCUCGAGCGUAUGGGGCUUUGUCACCCGCUCUGUAGGCCCGGCCGGCGCUUGCCGAACGCAAAUCAAUCUUUUUCCAGGUUGACCUCGGAUCAGGUAGGGAUACCCGCUGAACUUAAGCAUAUC